UUACAUUUUGAACCGAACGAUAGCUCUCACGAUGUACAACGGCGAAUGAUUAAAAAAAGGCUACAUCAGUGAUGAAAAUGUUGUAUGUAAUGUGUAAAAUAAACAGCCGAAAAAUUAUAAAUGGUGGUAGAAUCGACUUCGCACGCCUGAAAGCCGUUUAGGCUGUUGUGCAACCGUGUUGAGCCGGCGAACGUUCGAAAGCGGGAAGAAAGAAUGCCGGCAAUCAAACUAAACGAUGUUCGAUCAUGGAAAACAAGUUAAAAAGCAUACAAAGCCCGCUCGCCGUUGGACGCUUGGACAAUUCCUUUUACAAGCAUUCGGUGACCAGUUUGCGAAACGUCUUGCCGCACGCCUGGUACAGGCCCUUCUUGUCCGCCCCGGCAUCGAUCGUGGACUGAUCGUUCGGCAGCGUCAGCAUCAUCACCUUCAUCUGCGGGUAGUUGUGGUACGGCGCAGUUCCGGUCGCUAUCUCGAUCGGGGUAACGCCGAACGACUAGAAGCCGUAUCCGUGGUCCCGCUCCAUCUCCUCCGGCGCCAUCCAACACGACGCCAGCCGAUAAACGUGUGGUACACCUUCUGCCGCGACAUGUCUCCAUCGGUGGCGGGCCACGCGCUCAUCCGCUAUAUUUAAGGAGCCGUCGUCGCCGGGCAGUAUGAUGGCCACCUUGAUGUCCACGUAAUGGGCAAUGCGAAAUGUGCACUCAAUUGGCAAGCGCACAGCAAGAUCCUGCAAACGUUACCGACAGUCUUUGUCGCCGUGAAAAUGCUUCUAAUGCACGGGUGAGUUGCAUUAUAACUACAAGCAUACGUUUUUUUCCUUUCUUUAGUUUCAGCUAAUGCCAGACGAACGAUCGAAUGACUGUUGCUUCGGAAGGGAGGUCGCAUUACAGAUACCGACUUGGACAUGAUCCAGUCGGUCGGUUGCAGUUGCUCCAUGGUGCUUCGGAUAAGGCAACAACGGAGAAGCGCUCCGGACGCUCCGGAGAAGCAGAUCGAGAUCGGCGAAGCGGUGUAGUGUUGUGAUAUAGUGAUUGUGUGUACAUUUAAGGUGUAAAGGGUGAUUAAUGCUAGUAACGUUGUGUAAUGUUAUGCAGAACAAAAUGCAGCAUAAAUGGCGAUGAGCCAGCAUUGUUUAAAGGUGCCGGAUGUUAUACGUUAGAGCCGUUCUUUGUGGUGUGAUGUGUUAAUAUAUUAAACCAGUAUUAGGAUUAGGAUAUAAUUAGGAUUUAAACCAGUGCCGUUGAAUAAAAUAGUGUACAACAGGUUAGAAAACAUUCGGUGUGUUUUGUUUUGUUUUUUUAAAGCUCUUUUGAUUACCUAUUACGGAAGCAAAUAUGUUUCACUAAUGUGCAAAAGAAUGGCUCACUGGCUGGUUAGUGCAGACUAUGAUCGGAUGCGCAUUUCCCUACGCCGCAGUGCCGGGUGCAUCAUACGUCGGUGUUGGGUUGCUGUUACUGGGCCGAGCGGAUGCGCGUGCACACGUGGGAAUAAACGACACGCAACCGUGGUAUUUUAUAUUGCAUCGGUACGAUUAUCGUGUUCAAAGGCUUUUUCGAGAAAUGCCAAUACAUAAAUCGGUUAGUCCGUUUAUAUCGGUUUCUCAAACCCCUGCAAGCAAGUGUCAAUCAUUUCAGUCUUAAACUUUUGACGAACGAAUGCCUGGUCGCUAGCUGCAGCUUUCCAUCGAUGUAGGAACACGAUCUUCGAGAUUUUACUUCACCUGAUCUAGCCAUCGAACUCGCUGUGCUUCCUUGCUUCUAGUACCGAACUGAGAGCCGCUCGAACACCUAGCUGCUGGGGCACGAGGCUGCCUUCUUCACAACAUGCUCCAGCCAUGGCAAACAGCCAUGUCCGGUGCGCCAUACGGCUUCAGUAAGCUCGUGGAUGAUCAUUCGCAUCCACACCCCAUGCUCGAAUUCACCGCCAAAGAUGAUCCGAAGGAUGCGUUGGCCGUCGUGUUUCGCCACUGUCCUUUGCAUGCUGUAAAGAAACAUACCUAUUCAUCGUCGGCCAAUGGUGCAGCACGAGCGCAACGUGAUACAUCGUGACAUCAUCCGGAAAACUUGCAGCUGGGGCGUGAUCUGAAGAUGACGGUGGUGAUCUGAAGAUAGCUGAUUUUGGUUGGUCAGCUGCACACAAAAACUGUCGAUCUAUGGAAUUUGGGCAUGCUGGCGUAAGGCCCCGUUUUUGGCGACCACGUAUGAAGAAUCGUACCGUAAAAUUAUGAAGCUGCAGUUUAAGAUGCCGCCAGAUGUAACGAAGCCGGCGGCCCAUCUGAUCUCGCGACUGUUCGUUAAGGAUCUGGCCAGCCGUAUGCCGCUGAAACAUGUUGCGUCCAUCCCUGGAUUCUGCUGCACGUGCACAAAAAGUAAAUAGGAAUUGCUGCUACCAUGUACCAUAUAUCGUUAUGUUCUCACUAAGUAUGUUUAUAAGAUACCUGUACCUUUUAGUUUUUAAAC